UUACGGGUUGCAGCAGUGGGGAAUAUUGCACAAUGGAGGAAACUCUGAUGCAGCAACGCCGCGUGGAGGAUGACACUUUUCGGAGCGUAAACUCCUUUUAUAUAGGAAGAAGAUGACGGUACUAUAUGAAUAAGCGCCGGCUAACUCCGUGCCAGCAGCCGCGGUAAUACGGAGGGCGCAAGCGUUACUCGGAAUCACUGGGCGUAAAGAGCGUGUAGGCGGAUUAAAAAGUCAGAAGUGAAAUCCUAUAGCUUAACUAUAGAACUGCUUCUGAAACUCUUAAUCUAGAAUAUGGGAGAGGCAGAUGGAAUUUCUGGUGUAGGGGUAAAAUCCGUAGAGAUCAGAAGGAAUACCGAUUGCGAAGGCGAUCUACUAGAACAUUAUUGACGCUGAGACGCGAAAGCGUGGGGAGCAAACAGGAUUAGAUACCCCCGUAGUC
rnacentral:rRNA from 1 species